UUGCUUCAGCAGUAGACUGACUGAAACUGGAAGGAUAUUGAGAAGACCGGCACAGCCCUAGUGCAAGGGGACACACGAACUAGUGAAGCAUUCCAUACUUUU